rnacentral:rRNA from 1 species
AUAUCAGUCAUGCAUAGCAUAUCAAUAAGCGGAGGAAAAGAAACUAACAAGGAUUCCCCUAGUAACGGCGAGUGAAGCGGGAAGAGCUCAAAUUUGAAAUCUUCAAAGGGUUUCCCUUUACGAAUUGUAGUUUAAAGAAGUGUUUUCUGUUGGAGUUUCGGUAAAAGUUCUUUGGAAUAGGACAUCAUAGAGGGUGAGAAUCCCGUAUUUGACCGUUACUUUCCAGCUGUGUGAUACACUUUCAAAGAGUCGGAUUGUUUGGGAAUGCAGUCCAAAAUGGGUGGUAAAUUUCAUCUAAAGCUAAAUAUUGGCGAGAGACCGAUAGCGAACAAGUACCGUGAGGGAAAGAUGAAAAGAACUUUGAAAAGAGAGUUAAACAGUACGUGAAAUUGUCAAAAGGGAAGCGUUUGACACCAGUGUUGUUUAGUUGAAAAUCAAUUCAAUAAUUUUUGAUUUUGAGUAGUAUUGACUUAUCAGCUUGCUGCUUUCUUUUCAGAAAUUAUUUAAUGCACUUUUCAGUUAACAAGUCAACAUCAAUUUCUUUUGUUGUAAAAGGGUAAGAGGAAGGUGGCUUGCGCUUCGGCUCAAGUGUUUAUAGCCUUUUACCUCUGCAAUCGGAGAGAUUGAGGACUGCAGCGUAGACUCUUCGGGGUUAGAUACGUUUGUGCUAAGUUAUAGCCUUGUAUAGACAACUUGUUGACUAUACUCAGUCAUGUAGCUUACUCGCAGAUAGUAUUUUACCUACGCUUAGGAUGUUGAUCUCUCACAGUCGAGC